rnacentral:rRNA from 1 species
CGGACGGGUGAGUAAUGCUUGGGAAUCUGGCUUAUGGAGGGGGAUAACUACGGGAAACUGUAGCUAAUACCGCGUAAUAUCUUCGGAUUAAAGGGUGGGACUUUCGGGCCACCUGCCAUAAGAUGAGCCCAAGUGGGAUUAGGUAGUUGGUGGGGUAAAGGCCUACCAAGCCGACGAUCUCUAGCUGGUCUGAGAGGAUGACCAGCCACACUGGAACUGAGACACGGUCCAGACUCCUACGGGAGGCAGCAGUGGGGAAUAUUGCACAAUGGGGGGAACCCUGAUGCAGCCAUGCCGCGUGAAUGAAGAAGGCCUUCGGGUUGUAAAGUUCUUUCGGUGAUGAGGAAGGUGUUUGUUUUAAUAGAACAAGCAAUUGACGUUAGUCACAGAAGAAGCACCGGCUAACUCCGUGCCAGCAGCCGCGGUAAUACGGAGGGUGCGAGCGUUAAUCGGAAUGACUGGGCGUAAAGGGCACGCAGGCGGUGACUUAAGUGAGAUGUGAAAGCCCCGAGCUUAACUUGGGAAUUGCAUUUCAUACUGGGUCGCUAGAGUAUUUUAGGGAGGGGUAGAAUUCCACGCGUAGCGGUGAAAUGCGUAGAGAUGUGGAGGAAUACCGAAGGCGAAGGCAGCCCCUUGGGAAUAUACUGACGCCCAUGUGCGAAAGCGUGGGGAGCAAACAGGAUUAGAUACCCUGGUAGUCCACGCUGUAAACGCUGUCGAUUUGGGGAUUGGGCUUUGAGCUUGGUGCCCGUAGCUAACGUGAUAAAUCGACCGCCUGGGGAGUACGGC